AGUGAACGCUGGCGGUAGGCCUAACACAUGCAAGUCGAACGGCAGCACAGUAAGAGCUUGCUCUUACGGGUGGCGAGUGGCGGACGGGUGAGGAAUACAUCGGAAUCUACUUUUUCGUGGGGGAUAACGUAGGGAAACUUACGCUAAUACCGCAUACGACCUACGGGUGAAAGCAGGGGAUCUUCGGACCUUGCGCGGUUGAAUGAGCCGAUGUCGGAUUAGCUAGUUGGCGGGGUAAAGGCCCACCAAGGCGACGAUCCGUGGCUGGUCUGAGAGGAUGGUCAGCCACACUGGAACUGAGACACGGUCCAGACUCCUACGGGAGGCAGCAGUGGGGAAUAUUGGACAAUGGGCGCAAGCCUGAUCCAGCCAUACCGCGUGGGUGAAGAAGGCCUUCGGGUUGUAAAGCCCUUUUGUUGGGAAAGAAAAGCAGUAGGUUAAUACCCCGCUGUUCUGACGGUACCCAAAGAAUAAGCACCGGCUAACUUCGUG
rnacentral:rRNA from 1 species